UUAGAGAGAGAAGCUCUCCCUUCUCUCUAAAAAUCCCGCCGGCGAAGGUGGGUGGUGGUGGUGAUUCCGGCGCGGCGGCCGGCCGGUUUCCGGCGGCGGCGCCACCGCGCCGGAAAAUUCGAACUUCUUUUUUUUUUAAAAUUUUUACAUCAAAAGUUCCGUCACCACCUCCUCUACACAAAUCCGGCGUUAGUUUUAGCGAGAACGGAGCGAUUCGGACUAGAUCUACAUUUUUUCUUUGAAAAUUUUUCACACUUUUUUUAAAAAAAAACUACGGAUCUAGAUAUCCUUUUCUCUCUAGUGUCCGAAUCCGGCCUCAAAAUUUUCAAAAUCCGAACGUACACGCCUAGAUCUACAAAUACAUAUCCGUAACAAACUUUUUCACACCUUUUUUUACACUACAUAUGCGCGCGAAAACGGAGAAAAAGAGGAGAGAAAUGCGUUACCUCUGUCGUGAAACGGAGAAAAAUCUUCGGAAAAACUUCGAAUCCUCCUCUUCUCUUUCGCGCGCGCUAUACCCUCCGUUGGUGUUGUUUUUGCUCGAAAAUCCGGUACGUUUUGGUGUUGAUGUGGUGAUUCGCGGUGGUUUUGAGUGAAUCCGGUUCGGAUUUGUUGAUUUUGUGGUGGUUGGAGCUGAUUCCGAGCAGAUCCGGUUUAGAUCUGUUGAUUUUGGUGAUGAGGUGUUCUUGGUGUUCUUCCUCUUUUUUAUGAGUUUUUUCUGUUUUGAUUCUGUUAUGGAUGAGAGAGAGAAAAAGAUUCUGUUUGAGACUGAUUGUGAUUGAUUCUGAUUUUUUUUUUUGACUGAUUGUGAUGGAUCUGACACAUUUACUAUUUAUAGCCUGCCAUGUGUAUCUGAGAACCAAUGAAAAAAUGACAUCUGGACUGUUUUGGACUUAAGGACUAAUCUGCAAAAAGGUUAAUAUGAGGACUAAUCUGCAAAAUAAGAAAAAGGACUAAAAAAUGCAAUUUUAAAAAGUAUUGGACUAAAAUGCAAGUUAAAAUAAAAUUGGAUAAAAAUUGGUAAUUUGAAAAAACGUAAAGUGAAACAAAAAAUAAAAUCAACAAAAGGACUAAAACGAACCAAUUACUGACACGAGGUAUUUUAAAA
rnacentral:lncRNA from 1 species